rnacentral:rRNA from 1 species
UACAGAGGUCUCAAGCGUUGUUCGGAUUCAUUGGGCGUAAAGGGUGCGUAGGUGGCGAGGUUAGUCAGGUGUGAAAUCUCGGGGCUCAACCCCGAAACUGCACUUGAUACUGCCUUGCUAGAGUACUGGAGAGGAGAUUGGAAUUUACGGUGUAGCAGUGAAAUGCGUAGAUAUCGUAAGGAAGACCAGUGGCGAAGGCGAAUCUCUGGACAGUUACUGACACUGAGGCACGAAGGCCAGGGGAGCAAAACGGGG